CCUUUUGGUUUUUACCCUUUCCAAAGAUUUGGACUUUUCUUCUCCAGCAAGAUUUGUUCUAUUUAAAAGACUUUGGGAAACAUACUUUUAUAUUUUUAUUGGACUAGAAAUAUUCUUGACAAUAAUCAAUAUUUGAUUUCAGGUUUCUUUCUUUAAAAUUAUAUGUAUAUUUCUUCUAUUGAUUUUCUUUAAUCUUCUUUUCUUACCUCAAGAUCAGUGGAGAUGAUUAGUGCCUUGCUCAAGGGAAGGAAGGAAAUUAAGAAGGAAGGAAGGCGGCAAGGAAGGAAGGAAGUUAAUAAAAGGAAGGAACUUAAAGAAAGGAAGGAAGAAAGGAAAUUAAGAAGGAAGCAAGGAAUGUAGGUAGUUGAAGAAAGGAAGGAAUAAAGUAAAGAAGGAAGGAUUGAAGGAAGAAAGGAAAUUAAGAAGGAAGCAAGGAAUAAAGGAAGUUAAAGAAAGAAGGAAUUAAGGAAAGAAGGAAGGAUUGAUGGAAGAAAGGAAAUUAAGAAGGAAGGAAGGAAGUUAAAGAAAGGAAGGAAUACGGGCAAGAAGGAAGGAUUGAAGGAAGAAAGGAAAUUAAGAAGGAAGGAAGGCAGCAAGGAAGGAAGGAAUGAAGGAAGAAAGGAAAUUAAGAAGGAAGGAAGUUAAUGGAAGGAAGUAAAGAAGGAAGAAAGGAAAUUAAGAAAGAAGCAAGGAAGGAACGAAGUUAAAGGAAGGAAGGAAUGAAGGAAGUUAAAAAAGGAAGGAAAAAAGGAAAGAAGGAAGGAUUGAAGGAAGGAAGCAGCAAAGAAGGAAGGAAGGAAGGAAGAAAGGAAAUUAAGAAGGAAGGAAGUUAAUGAAAGGAAGGAAGGAAUAAAGAUGGAAUGAAUGAAGGAAGAAAGGAAAUUAAGAAAGAAGCAAGGAAGGAAGUUAAUGGAAGGAAGGAAUGAAGGAAGAAAGGAAAUUAAGAAAGAAGCAAUGAAGGAAGGAAGUUAAAGGAAGGAAUGAAGGAAGUGAAGAAGGAUGGAAUUAAGUAAAGAAGGAAGGAAGGAAAUUAAGAAGAAAGGAAGUAUGGAAGGAAGGAAAUUAAGAAUGAAGGUAGGAAGCAUGGAAAGAAGGAAAUUAAGAAGGAAGGUAGAAAGCAUGGAAGGAAGGAAAUUAAGAAGGAAGGUAGGAGGCACUGAAGGAAGGAAAUUAAGAAGAAAGGAAGCAUGGAAGGAAGGAAAUUAAGAAUGAAGGUAGGAAGCAUGGAAGGAAGGAAAUUAAGAAGGAAGGUAGAAAGCAUGGAAGGAAGGAAGUUAAGAAGGAAGGUAGGAGGCACUGAAGGAAGGAAAUUAAGAAGGAAGGUAGAAAGCAUGGAAGGAAGGAAAUUAAGAAUGAAGGUAGAAAGCAUGGAAGGAAGGAAAUUAAGAAGGAAGGUAGGAAGCCUGGAAGGAAGGAAAUUAAGAAGGAAGGUAGGUAGCAUGGAAGGAAGGAAAUUAAGAAGGAAGGUAGGAAGCAUGGAAGAAAGGAAAUUAAGAAGGAAGGUAGGAAGCAUGGAAGGAAAGAAAUUAAGAAGGAAGGUAGGAAUCAUGGAAGGAAGGAAAUUAAGAAGGAAGGUAGGUAGCAUGGAAGGAAGGAAAUUAAGAAUGAAGGUAGGAAGCAUGGAAGGAAGGAAAUUAAGAAGGAAGGUAGGAAGCAUGGAAGGAAGGAAAUUAAGAAGGAAGGUAGAAAGCAUGGAAGGAAGGAAGUUAAGAAGGAAGGUAGGAGGCACUGAAGGAAGGAAAUUAAGAAGGAAGGUAGAAAGCAUGGAAGGAAGGAAGUUAAGAAGGAAGGUAGGAGGCACUGAAGGAAGGAAAUUAAGAAAGAAGGUAGAAUGAAGGUAGGAAGCAUGGAAGGAAGGAAAUUAAGAAUGAAGGUAGGAAGCAUGGAAGGAAGGAAGUUAAGGCCCCCGUUUACACUAAGCCGGAUAAGGUUAUCCAGGGUAAAUCACACCUAACCUUAUCUUUGUCCACACACAACAAUGCCACCUAGUACACAUGCGGGGGAAGCAACAUGACCUAGUACACAUGCACAGGAAGCAACAUGACCUAGUACACAUGCACAGGAAGCAA